ACAUGAAUUACAAGAUGGCAGGCCUGUGCCCCUGGGACUGUCGUAGUGUCCCAUGUCAGAGAAAACUGUGGCUCCAAACCAUUGCCUGGCCUCUGCCUGUAGGCUCCUGGCACUGUGCACAGAGGAAAGAAAG
rnacentral:snoRNA from 1 species